rnacentral:lncRNA from 1 species
AGGAAGCAGCAGCCUCCGCUCCGCGGCGGGUGUGCUCGGCAGUCACAGACCCACUCAGGACACCUCCCGUUGCCGACGGGCUAGACCUGCCUUAAAGGGGUCCCCGUGUCUCUCCAGUCUAGAGCCUAAGUUCAAACGAGGCGUAUAGGCGAGGACAGCAGGAAGGCUCCAAGUCAAACAAACGGAUGGGAAGUGGUCUUGGGAAACCUGAAGACACUGGGAUAUUCAGAAGGCCAAGGGGAUCCAGCUUAUCCUGUUGGGCAAGGUGCUGGGAGUGAAGGCAGGAACUACCAAAGCCACGGAUCAGCUGAGUUACCCGGGCUAAUAGCAGGAGGAAACAGUGUCAGAGAGGGAUCUGGCUGAUCUUCAACUCCACUAAGUUCUCCCCAAGGUAUAGCCAUCCUUAUCAUCAAACCCUCUUUUCUGGUAUUCUCUCAAUCCAGUCUUUCAUACUCUAUUCCCCCACCAUGUAAUCUGCAUCCUUUCAUUUUUCUUUUCCACUUCCCUUACCACUGAUCCCAUCAUUACCAUAUUUUCCUCAUACCUUCUUCCCCUCGAAGUCGCUCAGCCUGUCCACGCUCAAUCAAAGCCUCAGCCUCCUUCACAAAUGCCACUAAACCCCCAAAAGGGGGAGACAGCAACUCUUCAAUGAAUUCCUGGAAAGACACAAACACAUAUACACAGGUGUCCUGGUGUCAGCAGAUUUGCCCAAUUCUGGCAUCAUGACUAAUGUAGAUCCAUCUGAAUGGCAUCUUUCAGCUGCUGCAAAAGUUAAGGAAAAUCCUCUAUGGAGAAAAAUAUCCUCAAUCCUAAUUUUGGCCCAUACAGUUCCCCUGGUUAAGAUCAAACAAUGAACUCAAAGAUCACUAGACACAAAAGAAGGGCAGCUACCAAGAGAGUCAGCAGACACAAUAAGCAAUAGCUGCUGACCUUAAGAACUAUCCGAUACGGAUAGCAGUUGUACUGUGUGCAAUGUCUAAAGUUAAGGAUAGGCCGGGCACAGUGGCUCACGCCUGUAAUCCCAGCACUUUGGGAGGCUGAGGUGGGCAGAUCACCUGAGGUCAGGAGUUCAAGACCAGCCUGGCCAACAUGAUGAAACCCCAUCUCUACUAAAAAUACAAAAAUUAGCUGGGCAUGAUGGUGGAUGCCUAUAAUCCCAGCUACUCGGGAGACUGAGGCAAGAGAAUCACUUGAACUUGGGAGGCGGAGGUUGCAGUGAGCAGAGAUCAUGCCACUGCACUCCAGCCUGGAUGACAGAGCAAGACUCCGUCUCAAAAAAAAAAAAAAAAAAAAAGGAUGUAAAAAUGACCAAUUAGUAAGAACUAUGAGGAAUGAACAGACUUGAAAAAAGGAAAUUUUUUUAGAUAUGAAAAGCCAGUUUUAGAAAGUCAACAGAUUAACAAGAAUUAUACAAUGAAUUAGAAUUUAUAACUGAAGAAAGGACUCAGAAUGUAGCACAGACAGAAGAUGGAAAAUUUUGAGAUAGUAGGAGAUACAGAAAUCUAAUUAAUGUAUCUAGGCACUGAAAUUGAUGGCUACUAACAUCACAAAGAGAGCCAAGAAGACAUUAUGUGCUUCCUGAUGGAAAUACAUACCACUACCUCUCAAAUAUCCCUGUAGAAAAAAAAAAACUAAUUUAAAUCUGACCAAGCCUUUCCAUCUAAUUACACACUUAUGAGAAAUACACCAGACAGAGGAAGUUUGGCCACACCAUGGAAUGCAGUCAGCAAAAUCUAAACUGUACAUCAUUCUAGAUGACAAAUGACUCAAUAACUCAGUUUCUUCCAAAAAUAAAUUGCAGAGGAGAUGGAAGGGAAAUCUAUAGACUAAAAAAAGACACAUAUAUGGACUUUAUAUGGAUCCUGAUUUGAACCAUAAAAAUCAUUUAUGAAGGCCAGGCACAGUGGCUCAUGCCUGUAAUCCCAGCAUUUUGGGAGGCUGAGGCGGGUAGAUCACCUGAGGUCAGGAGUUUGAGACCAGCCUGGCCAACAUGGUGAAAUCCUGUCUCUACUAAAAAUACAAAAAUUAGCUGGGCGUGGUGGUGGGUGUCUAUAAUCCCAGCUACUCAGGAGACUGAGGCAGGAGAAUUGCUUGAACCCGGGAGGCAGAUGUUGGAGUGUGCCAAGAUCGGGCCAUUGCACUCCAGCCUGGAGGCAACAAGAGUGAAACUGUGUCUCAAAAAAAAAAAAAAAAAAAUCACUUAUGAAAUAACUGGGAAAAUCUGAAUAGUUAUUUUAGAUAAGAUAAUUUUUUUAAGUGUGAUAAUGUAUUGUAGUUUUUAAAACCAUCUGUUACCAGGUGUGGUGGCACACACCUGUAGUCCCAGUUACUUAGGAGGCUGAGGUGGGAGGAUCACUUGAGCCCAGGAGUUCGAGGCUGCAGGGAGUUAUAUCAUGCUACUACACUCCAGCCUGGGCACUACAGCAAGGCCCUAUCUCAAAAAUAAUUUUCUUAAUAAAAAUAACAUUCUGAUACAGAUGAAGUGAUAAUAUUCAUCUGUAUAUGUAUAAGAUUUAAUUCAAAGUAACUGGGGGACACAGAAGGAGGAUAAGCAAUAGGUGUUGGUAUAGAUGAAACAAAACUGUCCGUGAACUGCUAUACACCGAAUAUCACUGAUGAUGCCUGGGGGUUCACUAUGCUUUUCUAAUAGCAUAGUGAAAUUUCCCAUAAUAAAAUGUUAAUUUUUGUUUAAUGUAAAAGGGAGAUUCAAACAAAAAAACUCAUAAAAGCAAACAACCCAGACAGAAAGAUCUGGUAAGAAGAAAGUGAAAUUAUUAUUCCAUUUAAAAAUAAAUUAUUAAUACUAAAAUUAGCCAGGUGUGGUGGUGCAUGCCUGUAACCCCAGCUACUCAGGGAGACUGAAGCAGAAGAAUCACUUGAACCGGGAGGCAGAGGUUGUAGUGAGCCAAGAUCAUGUCACUGCACUCCAGCCUGGGCGACAGAGCAGCAACUUGUCUCAGUAAAUAAAUAAAUAAAUAAAUAAAUAAAAAUUGUAUCUUUUCUAUUCUUCCCUCAAAAUAUUCACUUAUAUCCACUGAGGGUGUCAAAUAACUAAUAUGCUGCAAGGAAGGAUCUUUCUAUAAUCAAGGCAUCUUUGUGAUGUGAUUUUGGACAGAGAUUAAAUAACCAAAUUCAACCUAUUACAGUUGCCUAAAUGCAGUCUCACACACACAUAUACAAACAAUAAUGUAGCAGUGUACGGUGGGGCACAGGGAGUAGACUUGCCAAAGAAAAGUUGAACUAACAGUGAUGACCCCUGCUAGGCAGGAGCCAUAAAUUAUAUAAUGUGUUGUAAGCAUGAUAUAUACACCUGAUUUUGAAGACUUCAUCUUAGAAUAAAUUUUAAGUAUAUCUUUUUUUUCUUUUUUUUUUUCGGAAACAGGGUCUUGCUCCAUCACCCACGCUGGAGUGC